CCAUUAAUGUCGUAGUGUCGGUACACUAGAGACACUUUCUGGUUGGAACCGAAUAGAGAGUUCAUAAAUGAACUUUCUCAUCCAAACAACAUUGUUGUAAGCUUCUUUAUGGCAAUAUAUUUUGCAUGCAUAAUGGAACACACUAAAGUCAUUACUUUUAAUGUUUCCAUCCAAAUAUCUCUUUAGUCAUAAUAAAGAGAUAUCUAACUAUCUCUUCAUUCAUAAUGAAGAAACAUCCAAUGAUGGAUUAGAUUCAUAAUCUAAUACAUUUACGCUUCCAUUACGUUACUCUAAUUCUUCCUCAUUCUUAAGGAAUCCAUCCUUUAUUAUUUCUCAAAUACUUAAGGAUUCACUUGACAGUUGCCAUGGUUCUGAUCCUGUGCUUGCAUUGAUAUCGUCUUGUACCGAUCUUGGUACAACUCAUAUCAACGUUUUUCAUACAAUAUGAAAUACAUAAAUCACCUUUCUGCGUAUGCAUAAAGGAUUCUAUUUACGCAUUAUUUCUUUGGGAGUCAAAGGGUACGUUCCUUUUGAGAAGAGCUACCUCCUAGUCUCACUAGAGUUGUUCUUCUGAUUGAAGUUUAUCAUCAUAUGAAACUUCCUAGCAUCUUUUGUCUAUUAUUAGGGAUUGAUAUAAUCCAAUUAUAUCUUGAAAUCUAUCAUUGUAGAUUUCCAUCCUACGUAUAUAGACUAUGUCUCCCAUAUCCAUUCUAUCUUUAUAGAAUGUUUAAAGUCAUAACUUUAACGAAGAAGUAUUCUUUUCAUUUCCAAAAUUAAUAUAUCAUAUAUAUGUAAAUUUUUAGGAACAUGAUUAACUCCCACUAAUCUUUUGUAAACUUAGUAAACAAAAGAUUCAUUUACAUCUAUAUGAGAAAUCAAACGAUUUGAUAUUUCUCUCAUAAGACGCUUAUAGCUCCCACUAACUUGCUAAGAUUCAUGAUGGAUGGAUCUCUACAACUUACAUGUCUUGUGAUUCAUAGUUUUAGACAUAUAU
rnacentral:lncRNA from 1 species